GACGAACGCUGGCGGCGUGCUUAACACAUGCAAGUCGAGCGGUAAGGCCCUUUCGGGGGUACACGAGCGGCGAACGGGUGAGUAACACGUGGGUGACCUGCCCUCAGCUCUGGGAUAAGCCUGGGAAACCGGGUCUAAUACCGGAUAUGACUCCAUGACGCAUGUUGUGGGGUGAAAGCCUUGUGCGGCUAGAGGAUGGGCCCGCGGCCUAUCAGCUUGUUGGUGGGGUGAUGGCCUACAAGGCGACGACGGUAGCCGGCCUGAGAGGGCGACCGGCCACACUGGGACUGACGACACGGCCCAGACUCCUACGGGAGGCAGCAGUGGGAAUCUUGCGCAAUGGGCGAAAGCCUGACGCAGCCAUGCCGCGUGAGUGAAGAAGGU
rnacentral:rRNA from 1 species